rnacentral:tRNA from 1 species
GCCUGGGUGGCUCAGUCGGUUAGACGUCUGACUUCCGCUCAGGUCAUGAUCUCGUGGUCUGUGGGUUCGAGCCCCGCGUCAGGCU